UACUCCUACGGGAGGCAGCAGUGGGGAAUAUUGGGCAAUGGGCGAAAGCCUGACCCAGCAACGCCGCGUGAAGGAAGAAGGUCUUCGGAUUGUAAACUUCUGUCGCAGAUGACGAAGGAAGUGACGGUAAUCUGUGAGGAAGCCCCGGCUAACUACGUGCCAGCAGCCGCGGUAAUACGUAGGGGGCGAGCGUUGUCCGGAAUUACUGGGCGUAAAGGGAGCGUAGGCGGCUUGGUAAGUUGGAUGUGAAAUACCCGGGCUUAACUUGGGGGGUGCAUCCAAUACUGCCGAGCUAGAGUACAGGAGAGGAAAGCGGAAUUCCUAGUGUAGCGGUGAAAUGCAUAGAUAUUAGGAGGAACAUCGGUGGCGAAGGCGGCUUUCUGGACUGACACUGACGCUGAGGCUCGAAAGCGUGGGGAGCAAACAGGAUUAGAUACCCUGGUAGA
rnacentral:rRNA from 1 species